rnacentral:tRNA from 1 species
AAUUAUAUAGUCAAUUUUGAUUUUAAAUUGCAAAUUUAAAGGGGUAUUUAAAAUACUAUAAUUU